rnacentral:ncRNA from 1 species
ACAAGGGACUUAAUUGUUUGAGCGCCACGGCGGAAACGCCAUGAGCGGAACCCCUCAAAUUCGGUGAAAGCUUCCAGCUGCAGCUGAUGCCGACGCCGAGCCAAGCCCUGAGCGCAGGGAAGGUGUAGAGACUAGACGGGGGGCGCCUAAGGUCCGCGAGGAUUACGGCGAAGGCAUAGUCCGGCGCACGAACCGG